GCGCAGCAGUCGCGAAACCUCCGCAAUGCUCGAAAGAGCGACGGGGGGACUCCAAGUGCCUACGCUCAGCGUAGGCUGUUCCCGAGCCUAAAAAGCUCGGGGAGUAAGGGCUGGGUAAGACGGGUGCCAGCCGCCGCGGUAAUACCCGCAGCCCGAGUGGUGGCCGCUAUUAUUGGGCCUAAAGCGUCCGUAGCCGGCUCGGUAAGUCCCUGGCGAAAUCCCACGGCUCAACCGUGGGGCUUGCUGGGGAUACUGCGGGUCUUGGGACCGGGAGAGGCGGGGGGUACCCCUGGGGUAGGGGUGAAAUCCUAUAAUCCCAGGGGGACCGCCAGUGGCGAAGGCGCCCCGCUGGAACGGGUCCGACGGUGAGGGACGAAGGCCAGGGGAGCAAACCGGAUUAGAUACCCCCGUAGU
rnacentral:rRNA from 1 species